GACGAACGCUGGCGGCGUGCCUAAUACAUGCAAGUAGAACGCAGUUGCGAAAGGGUGAGUAACGCGUAGGUAACUGCCUCAUAGCGGGGGAUAACUAUUGGAAACGAUAGCUAAUACCGCAUACUGUGGGAUGGACCUGCGUUGUAUUAGCUAGUUUGGGAGGUAAAGGGUCACCAAGGCGAAGAUACAUAGCCGACCUUAGAGGGUGAUAGGCCAAAAUGGGAAUGGGACACGGCCCAGGCCGCUACAGGAGGCAGCAGUAGGGAAGUGUCGGACAUGGACGGAAGUCCGACCGAGCAACGCCGCGUGAGUGAAGAAGGUUUUCGGAUCGUAAAGCUCUGUUGUUACAGAAGCGGGAACUAACCAGAAAGGGACGGCUAACUACGUGCCAGCAGCCGCGGUAAUAC
rnacentral:rRNA from 1 species